rnacentral:rRNA from 2 species
CUGGUGUCAGCCGCCCCUUUAAUACCAGCACCCCGAGUGGUCGGGACGAUUAUUGGGCCUAAAGCAUCCGUAGCCGGCCUUACAAGUCCUCCGUUAAAUCCAGCUGCUUAACAGAUGGGCUGCGGAGGAUACUAUAAGACUAGGAGGCAGGAGAGGCAAGCGGUACUCAGUGGGUAGGGGUAAAAUCCGUUGAUCCAUUGAAGACCACCAGUGGCGAAGGCGGCUUGCCAGAAUGCGCUCGACGGUGAGGGAUGAAAGCUGGGGGAGCAAACCGGAUUAGAUACCCGGGUAGUCCCAGCUGUAAACGAUGCAGACUCGGUGAUGGACUAGCUUUAUGCUGGUCCAGUGCCGCAGGGAAGCCGUUAAGUCUGCCGCCUGGGUAGUACGGUCGCAAGACUGAAACUUAAAG